UAUAAAUUUUGUCAUACAGAUUACAUUUUCCUCAGCUUUAGUAAUGAAAAUAAAUGUUUGCUUUUGUUUACAGCCAAUUUCUCUUACAGAUUCAGAAUCAGACUAUAUUAAUUCUAAAUUCAUGGCUGGAAUUGAGGACAAGGAAGGCAAAAUGAAAUACGUUUUUUUUCUUCUAAUUCGUAGAAAUGUUUCUACUCCUUUUCUGUCUUUGAAAAUCUUGUGCCAGUCUGCGCUGUUGUGAAAGACCUGUGAAUACAUAUUCAUAGGGAUGAAAUUCAGAGGUGAUGGGCAACACAGACUAAGGAAAAGGAGCCCAGAGAGUCUGUAUUAAGCACACAACUGAGCUCAAUAUGAGUGUAAGCAUGUCCAGCCUCUGGAACAGCCAGGAGAAAAACUUUCAUGCCCCACAGGUGGGAGCUCACCCACAGACCUUCUUCUCUACAUACAGCAGCAAUGGGCCAGGCAACUUCAGUGGGCUUAUAUGUAUGCACAUGCUUAGCUUCCUGUAAAACCCAAACAUUAAGAAGACAGAUCUACAGCUGAUCCAUUUGAGGCAUGCAUGUAUUGGUUUGUAUUGCACUUACUGAGUAAACUUGAAAUGCAGAGGAGCCCAAAUCUCUAUUCUGGACGGUUUGAGGUUGUUUGGAUCUGACAUUUCUGUGUGUUCACUGACAGAAAUAAGCUAAUUAUGAAGCUGUGUUGGAAGGUGGAUGCCCUUUUUCCAAGUUUUGAGAAGUGUCUAGGCAGAGUAAUUGGAGUGUCCUAUCCCAACUGCAUUAGAUAGAUUUAGUGAAUGUGAAAAAUCUUCAUUAGUAAGGAAGAAAUGUGUUUUUAAGUGCUAAGAUAAUUCCACAUAACAUUACAGUUUGCAUCUACACCCACAGUACACAGAGAUUCAUGCAAAUGUCCAAAAAUUGAAAAAGCUUUAAAUGUAUUUUAUCUAAUUGUUCGUUGAACAGUAUUUAACUUUUGCUUUUCACAGGUUGUUUUGAAAUCUGAAUGUGUAAUAACUCUGAAUAUUUUAAUUUAAGCUAAUGUGCUAUUCCUUUAUGUAAAAAGUAAAGGAAUUUUGAAACUCUUUGCUGAAUACUCUGAGAUUGUCUAUACUCUGUGGCUAGCACUGAGCUGAAUGCCUAGCAUCCGUGCAUAGAAGAGGGAACAACUGCUGCCCCUCCGAUCCAGCUAUUCUUGUAUCUGGAAACAUUGUCAGGUGCUACAAGCAUCACGCCAUCCGAAAGGCCAAAGUUGAGUACUACGUUAUUGGAGUAGAUGACACCUUAUUCUUAUUCUUCAACAAUUCUAACAACUUAGAGUCCCUCGUUGUCCCUUUAUGAACACAGAUGUCAUUGUGAGGGGGGGGACAGCCAAAAUGACAAGAAGGUGACCUGUCAGUGAACUCAGGAGCAGGUGAGGCCUGUCAGCUUCUAAUUUGAAACUGGUGUCAGUCCUGAGGAAUGGCUGGUAUAAUCACAUUUGUAACUGAUAUCCUAUAAACGCUGCAAACAUUCACAGUGCGCCUGUUAUGAGUAAUAUGAAAUUAACAAUUCGUGUUUAUGACACAAGACACCAACUGAAUCAAGUAGGUCUCCGUAACUAGAUCAGCUCCGUCUGUCUUCUAGAGCAGCGCAUUGAACUGCUUCAGCCAAGCCAAAUUACUGUGUGCUUAUGUUACAAUAGGCAUUGUAUUUAUUUUGAAGACAAACUUUUGUAACUAGGUGUAAAGCGAGGAUCUCAGAACUAGCUUCUAGCUCAAGUAAUUACAUAUAAAACUUCUUUUGCUCGAGCCCAGCCAUUAAGAUGUUCAUGACUUUUAAGUUAGAGUUUGGGACCUAACAAAUCACAUGUUGUAUCUCACAUUUUCUGAAUAACUGAAGGGAAGGCUCUGUGUAAAUCUUCUCUCUCAGACACAUAAAUUACCAGCUGCAUGAAUACUGCCAUUAAGACAUGCAGACAAGUGCAAGGGGUGGGGACAGGGCAGGAUGCCCAAAAGAGGUGGAGUUACAGAGAAAACAAGGCAUUUGCUCACUGAGUAAUUUAUGCCUAAUCUGCCUUCACUGUAGCUGAGCAAGAAUGAAGACCAUGAGGCAGUGUGUCAGGCGCUCUCAUUUCACUACCAUCGAGGCAUUUUUCUGCAAAUUAGGUGUUUUCUUCCUAUUUCUAAUCAUUUCCACCUGAAUUUUUUUAUUAGGAAAAAUCAAAAUCAUAGUAUGUGAAGCAAAGAUUUGAAUUGAAGUUGCAUUCCAGGAUAAACUGAAACUCAAGUGCAUUUCUCAUUUGAAGACAGCAAGAUCUCAAAAUCCUUUGCAUAAUUAUUUCCAAUGCAAACUGACAGAAGCCCUAAAGUUCAGUUCCUUUCCUGAUUGCAUUGCUGCUGAGCUUGGUGCAUAGAUUAGAAGGUCCUUUCCAAUGAAAUGCAAAAGAAGAACCAGACAAAGAAUCUGCAAUUAUUACACUGGGAUUUAGUUAGCAGAGCUGAAAAAAUGCGAGUCCAAAUUCCAACUAGCUAGUGGAGCUUUCUGAGCAGUUUUGUACACCUUCAUAUAGGCAAUCCAGGGGAGCUAACAGCCUGCUGUAGCACUCUUUAGUGGUAGGUAAAUAACACUCAUUUCCAUUUUCUACAGAAGAACUGCACCCCACAGAGCUUCAGCAAUGUAACCAAGGCCAGGUACAGCAUUACAGCUGUGGUUCAGACACUGACAUCUCUUGUCUUCUGACCCAGCACUGACACAUCACACUUCUAACGUUGCGUAGUUCAAGUUGCUGGCCAUGGAUACCACCUAAUCAGCAAAGUAAAAGUACGAUUUCAAAACCAACCUACAAAACUGCUACAACCAACCUACGAAACUCCAUCGUACCUAAGGCCUAGCUCUAAAUUUCACAAUCACACUCCACCACCCAAAAACUCUCCUGUGAGAAGCAUCCUUGACUUUCAGGAGUCAGGGCUGGAAGCUGCACCCCAUGCAGUUGAUGCAGUCAUCUCUCAAUAUGUAGAACUUCUCAUGUUACUCCAAUGGCACAGUACAGUUGUUUAGUGUUUGGAUAAAGUACUGUAUGGGAAUUGUUGAAUCAAGGCCUGAACCACUGGUUGAUCAGCUGAAGCAAGGACUGGGUCAGCUUUAGGAAUACAGAUGAAGGCAAUUCAGCUGUGUGACCUGAAAGAGCGGAACCUAGCUGCAUCUCUCUUAGACCCCAUUUAAGGGCUGACUAAGACUAGCAAAAGAUCUCUUUCCAGAGAUCCCUCCUCUGUGGAGCUUUUCAUUGCAAGGCUAAAUUUUUGGAUACAGGUGAGCAUUCCCUCCCUGUUUGUUCCUUUGCUAUCUCACUACGGUACUCUUUCCAACUGUACCUUGUUGACUGUACGAGUACAGAAAACUCUGGUAGCUAUUCAGAGCUUUUCUAGAACCUGGUAACGUAUGUUUUAGUUAUCCUCCUACUUACACACGUAUAAUUAUUAGAAUUCCCCGCAUGGUUUAGGAGGAGAGCUGGCCCUGUGUAACAAGGCCCAGCACAGCAACAGGUUUCUGCAGCACCAAGUCAGCUCCAGGGGCUGAUGGGCAGUGGCACCACCUCAUGUAACUCCCAGAGCUGGUGGGGCAGGCACAGUGCCUCGACUGGAUUGCUGCUGUAGCUUACCUGUAGGAGCCUUCUAAAUCACUGGUCAUAUAAAAUACUCCUCUGCCAAAUUGGUUAUGGUUUUGAUUAUUGGCUGUAAAUGUCCAUUAUCUUUUGAUUUCCUUGCUAAGUAAGUUUGUGUGUGUUUAUGUCUUCUAUGGCUUUCAUUAGAGUAACACUAAGAUCUGGCAUAAGAUCAGAACAGAGGAACUUAUGAUUAUUGAUUAAAAACUAAUCUUAGCUUCCCACAGACCUUCCUUGUAGCCCUUGUACUGCUGACAUUAAGGAGCAGCUGGCACCCCUCAGCUCAGCCCGUUACCUGCAAGGAUCCCCUGAACACAUUGCACUGGCCAUGGCAGUGCUGUAGAAAGGAGGCUGCAGUGGGCAAUUCCGAGCUCCUACUUCCAGUGCUGAGCCCACGUGAGGCUGCCAGAAAAUCAAAAGAAAAGAUGAAGAAGAAAAAAAAAGUCAACAAAAAACUAUUAUCUUUUCUCAAAAGCAGAAAGUGGAAGAAUGAGACUCUGGCCUUUGUGGUCAGAGAGGUCUGAUCUGAAGACUUUGAGAAAAUUCCCCAUACAUAGAAAGAAGCAGGAGAGCACAUCUGUUUUCAUGACAGAGUUCGGUAAUAUUUUGAGCACUGAGAUCUUGCACUUCCUCUUAUCUCACAGCACCACUUUCUGUUCAUACAAUUAAUAUUGGGGAAGUUACCAUUCCCACCAUCUUUCAUUUUCAAGAUAAACAAAAUCCUCCUUUCAGGGUAGUCUUGAAGAAAUGACUAAGGGGCAAACUUAAAAGCAGGCUUACCCCAGCGAAGAGAUGGGAAGAUGGGAAUAUUAAUGUAUGGCCCAAUUUUAAUUUUAUUCAUUUCUAGUACAUUGGGGUAGGCAGAAUUGGAGUAGGAAAAAAGGAAGCAUACGCUGAGACCAUGAACCAAUGACUGGGGGAACAGUCUGGUUCAAAUCCUUGCUCUGCUCAAUUCCAUUGCAGGUUUAGUGACGAGUUCAUAAAUAACAGCUCUUUGUUGACUGUAUGGCUCCCAUACACGAGUGCCCUAAUCACUGAAGAAUUUUUUUUCCUUUCU